AAUGGAUGAUUAAUAUUUAUAUUAUGCAAUCGUAGAAUGCCACGUCGUGGAAAAAGUAGCAAACCAAGCUAUGGCCGGACGACCGGGAGUCCGUACAUCCACAAGCCGCUUCCUAGCGGUGUUCCAGUACCUAUAUGCUUUUGUGGUGAUCCUUGCAAGGUAGAAAUUUCGGAAGACGAGGAAACCUAUCGGCAGAGGUAUUGGAUGUGUUCUAAUUUUGCCUGGGAGCCUACGCCAAAACAACGCCGCAGUAACUUUAUUACCCCUCCACCAUUGUGUGAUUUUGAGCAGUGGAUCGACAC